rnacentral:rRNA from 1 species
GAUGAACGCUGGCGGCGUGCCUAAUACAUGCAAGUCGAGCGAACAGACGAGGAGCUUGCUCCUCUGACGUUAGCGGCGGACGGGUGAGUAACACGUGGAUAACCUACCUAUAAGACUGGGAUAACUUCGGGAAACCGGAGCUAAUACCGGAUAAUAUAUUGAACCGCAUGGUUCAAUAGUGAAAGACGGUUGUGCUGUCACUUAUAGAUGGAUCCGCGCCGCAUUAGCUAGUUGGGAAGGUAACGGCUUACCAAGGCAACGAUGCGUAGCCGACCUGGGAGGGUGAUCGGCCACACUGGAACUGAGACACGGUCCAGACUCCUACGGGAGGCAGCAGUAGGGAAUCUUCCGCAAUGGGCGAAAGCCUGACGGAGCAACGCCGCGUGAGUGAUGAAGGUCUUCGGAUCGUAAAACUCUGUUAUUAGGGAAGAACAAAUGUGUAAGUAACUAUGCACGUCUUGACGGUACCUAAUCAGAAAGCCACGGCUAACUACGUG